AUUUAAGUUCAGAGUCAGACUGAUGAAGAGUAAAGAGGAUGUUCUUUGCAAUGGUAACCAGGACAUAUUCUGCUUUAAAUGAAAGAAGGUCAGACUUGUCGAGAACCUGUCUCUAUGGAUUGCAACAAAGAAGGCUUCCUCCCUGCUGCUUCAUAAAAUUACUGUAAAUUGCCCUUCAGUUGAUGGUGGCUUCAAGCUAUUUCAAAACGUUUAGAAAGUAUGAUCCACUCAUUCAGUGUCAUUAUUGCACGCUGUUUGAAUAGGUGUCUAGAAAGUAAAGAGAAAAUAAAGAGGUGAGAUGGGAAAUUAUCACAGAAUCACAGAAUACACUGAGUUGGAAGAGACCUGCAAGGAUCAUCAAUCCCAGCUCCUGGCCCUGCACAGGACCAUCCCCAAGAUCUCAUCAUGUGCCUGAAAGAAUUGUCCAAAUGCCUCUUGAGCUCUGUCAGGCUGGUGCUGUGGCCACUUCCCUGGGGAGCUUGUUCCAGCCACCCUCUGGGUGAAGAACUCUUUUCCUAAUAUCCAGUUUAAACUUCUCUUGACUCAGACUCCAUCCAUUCCAUCAUGUCCUGUCACUGUCACCACAUAGAACUGACAUGUACCUACUCCUCCCACUUUGCUGACAAGGAAGUUUUAACUGCAGUGAGGUCCUCCCCAGUAUCCUUUUCUCCAGGCUGAACACACCAAAUGUCCUCAGCCACUCCUCACACAGCUUCACCCCAAGGUCCUUCACCAUCCUUGUGGUCAGAUGGAGGAGGUGGAAAGGGAUGUGAGACAAAGCCCCAUAUGUGAGGCUGAGGGGGAGCUGCUGUGCCAUCAAGAGAGACCCCAACAGUGUCACUGACAGGGACCAGAAGAUUUCACUUUGAAGUCAGGGAACCAGAAUGACCUAGUGCUUCCUGCUUCCCACUAGCAGCCCUGGAGAACACUGUCAGGUAGGACACAGUGAUAGUUUUAGUCAUACUCCCAGCUCUGAAGAAAUCAGUCCUACAAAAUUCCCUGGAUUGAUCAACACCAUUCAGCUUUCACCACCUCACAAUUGCUUGUAUGACCUUCCUGAUGUAGUAUGUGAUGACGAAAAGGAUCAUGAGAGGAACAAAGGAAAAUUUAAGAAGAAAUUUAAAAAGAAUGGAAGGUUAUGGUACAUUUCAAGAGGAUGAUUUUGGUUAUGAAGCUGGAAGUACUUCAAAGUUGAAACAGUCCAAGGAACUGCAUAUCCUCAAGAAAUCCAACUUUAAACAAACAAAUGAGAAGGAAUUUAAAAUUAAAGAGGAACCCAAAAAUGACAUGCACACAGAACACAAACAUAAGUAAGAUAAACAUCAAGAGAAAGAGUUAAAAGAUAUAACUGGAGUAGACAUUGCAAAACAGUGAGAAGAAAAGCAAGCAAGGAGCAACAUGUCAUGCCAUUGCCAAGUAAAGACAGGAAAGAAAUUCUGUUUUAAUCAGAAUCCUUGUCUAUGCAUAAAAUCAACUGAACUGUGAAAAUUACUGUAAUUUGAGUCAAACUGCACAAAUUAUUGCUGGCUGUAUAGAUGCUGUGAUGAAACCUUUCUUCUUAGCCUGGAGAGUUUCAUAUUUAUCUCUUCCACACAUCAGACUCAGGGGAGUUUAGAGAGGCCAGAAGAGUUUUCCAGUGCCUUUCAGAUUACUUCAAGACUUAUUUUCUCCAGGUGAUUUAAAAUAAUUUAGUAGCAGUUUUAUUUCCAACUAAAUUAAUUAUUUACAUUAUGAUACUUGCCUUGCUGUGAGUUUGUUUGAGGAGGGAUUUUAAGUUACACUGAAAGCACCUGAAUUUUAAAACCCUUUUGAUCCAUAAUUUUCACCUUCUGAACUUUGACUAUGACUAAUCUCCUGAUGGAGCAGCUUUCUUAAUUUCCAAAACAUGUUUUCUAUGACUGUUUCUUGGUAAACUUCUGUUGGUUAGUGUUGUUUGUUAAAUAUAUUAAUCAACACUACAGUGUACCUCUUACCUGAAAGUCACCAUCCAACACAAAACAAAAUCAUCUACUCUGUGCAUGCUUUCAACCUUAAGCCAAGGCUAUGCGGGAGAAAAGAGGAAAAUACAAGUUUGUACAUCAGGCACUAUUUGUGCAAAGGCAGAUUGAUAUCCAAUUGUUUUUGUGAGCUUUUCUUGGUACAUCAACAUACUGGCUUUUAAUUAAUCACUUUCAAACAUGCUAUGUACAGCUUAGUUUUCCUAAUUGCACAUAAUUGUAAAAUUUUGUGUUUGAUUUGAAGUAAGACAAAAAAUAUUUUUUUCCUCUCUAGAUUAUUUACCCUCUGAUUCCCUUUUCAGUGAAGAAGGUUUCAGAGAAAAAUGAGCAAAAUUUCAGCUUUAUAUAGUGAAGGUACUUUAAAAGUGUAUGAAUUUGGCACCAAUAAUUACAUUUGAUGCUCAAGGUCGAUACCUGAUUUCAUUUAAUGAGAAUUAGUCAUCAAAUUUCAUCAUAACACCCAUCAGGCUUGUAAUAUUUACAGCCUUCCAAACAGAAGACAAGCCCCAGGAGACCAUAUUUUAAAGUGACUCUCAUGGGCUGGGAAAUCACCACCUGCCUCUCCACUUGCACAUAUUUCACAACUGCAGAGGCCUCCAGAUAGCAAGAUUUUAUGAGAGGAAAAAACAACCCAUUUUAAGUUAGUGGAGACACUGAAAACAAGCAGUUGUUUCUGGAGAUCAUCUCUGUAGUCUCCAGACUACAUGCCCAACAUGAUCCAGAGGAAGCAAAUGGCAGCAAAUUAAUUAUUCAGUAGCUGGUGUGUAGAGAAUCUACUAUAGAGCAACACCUUCUCUCAGCUGGAGACAAAGCAAUGAGGAAAAAACUUCAGGAAGUGCUUCCACUCACUAUGUAAGGACUUCCUGUCUUCUAGCAAAAAGCAAAACAGAGAGAAGGAGCAGAUGACACCAAAGGAGUAAAAGUGAGAAUGAAUCCACAGCUUUUCUGAGUUUUUGCACUCUCAUCAUUCUACUGGAAGCACUCCUAGUAUGUCAAAAUUUCUCUUGGGCUUGGAAGAACGCCUGUGCCAAUCAAGAUGAUCGGCCUGCAGACUAUUUUUCCACUGCUCCUUGGGGAAGGAAUUCGAUCAUACUCUCUGGCUGCAGACAUCCAGUUGCUACCUCUGCUGACCUCAGCUGUUGUCAUGAUCUGCCUAAUAAAAUCAGAACAAUCUUUAUGUGAGAAAGCUUUGCAGUUAGACAGAGAUUAAACACACUCUCAUCAAUGUCUACAAAUUAAAUUUUCACAUCAUAACUCUUUAGCCCCAGACUGUUCCCUGUACUGGGCCAAAUUAAAUUUUUGAAUGCACUGCUCAGAACUGGGUUUUUAGUAUCAUAAAUAUUAAUUCUUUUAUUCCUCAUGCCAAGUCUAAGACACCACAACUAAAAGUAUAAAGUAUGUUUCAGCUCAUUAUUUGUCUAUAACAGAACAUUUUGUAAAAAUGCAAGUGAAAAGGUACAGUGAAGCACUUAGUAAAUCAUUGUUGUACAAAAUGUCCACAGGAGGGAAUGGGGUGCACAAGUAAAUAUGUAUUCCUGAAAUGAAACAAUGUCAAGAAAUCAUGCUUAGAGAAAACACAUGGCAAGAGUGAGCAGUUCUGUAAUCAAAGCACAUGCUUGUUGCAGCCUGUAGUGAUGGUAAACUGAUGACAAAAGCACAGCCAGAAACCCAGCCACAGCUCUGUGAACCAUGUUUAAGAAGAUUAAACCAUAAUGUAAGAAAUACUGAAACCGCAGCACAAUAUAGUAGAAAUUGUCCAAUGUAAAGAAAAAGUUUAGGGAAAAGAGCAACAUAUUGCAAAUGAAAACUGGAUGCCACAUUUGUGAAAAAAGGGAGAAAAAGGGAGCUGAAAUGAAACAUAUGAGUGUCUAGUAUGGAAAUAUAAAGAUGUAUGUGAAUCUUAGGGGAAAGUGUACAAUUUGAAGGGCUAGAAUAACAGCCUUAUGUUAACUAAUAUGGGAUUAGUCCAUACUGCUGGAAUGAAAGCUCUAGUUACAGCAACUAAGUAACAAUUUCCUUUAAUAAAAAUUUGUACUGACCUAAAA